CUAAAAGCGCAAUUUACCCCUCCGCUCGAAAACACGCGGAUCCUAUCUAGGUCGGGUUGGUUUCGGGUCAGUCCAUGUUUAAACGAUUCCGUUUUUAUCAUUUCGAACCAUUUCCAAAACGAUACCGUUUAGUACCCCUAUUUAAACUAAAAUUUUCUAAAAAUUUCAUUUGCAGCAAAGGAAAAAUAAAAAAUAAAUAAAAAAAAACUUUAUUCCUCU
rnacentral:lncRNA from 1 species